AGAGAAGCCUGAGCUGGAGGAAAACACAGUCGUGCAAUGUUUUAGGACCCCAGACCUGCAAGGGAGAAGCUGAAGCCUGCACUCACCAUCUGGAGAAGGAAAAACCAUGUGGAAUAGAGACAAGCUGUUACAGCCAAGGCCCCAGACACAUGAGAGAUCCAAAGACCAGCACAGUCAGCCCAGCCGCUGACAAUGGACUCACCAGUGAGUCUGUGAAACCAUAGGAAUCACGGAUUUUUUUUCAUCCUUUAUUUCAUCCCUAUUACUUCAUGUAAGGAUUGUUGGUGUGAUUGCAACCGAAUAAGAGGAUUUAUCAUCACUCCCAGAUGGGGCAUAGUAAAUAUUAGGACGUUGAGUCUCUUCUAUAUGGAACAAAGUACGAAUGACUUCAUGUAUAUAAAAAAGAGUUGGAUCCUGCUAGGUGGAAGCAUGAAGUUGUUAACUGUUGUUGCAUGGAAGUUAAAAUACAUGGAGAGGAGUGGUUAGGAGUGCUGAGAAACCAAUGAAGGUGACUCUGCGAUGCUGGGAGGACUCUGAAAAUUACAUUUUCCAGUUACCCUUGCCAGCAGGCUUCCUUUUAGAUUCCAUCUGCAGGAUGCAUAGAGAGAAGAGCAGAAGGAACUUCCUUCCUGUUUUUCCUGUCUUUGACGGCACUGCUAGAUCCAGCCUCCCAUGAGUUGUGGCAUUUCCAGCACAGUGCUGUGGCACACUCUCAGAGAAAUCAGCAGCUCCGGGGCAGCCACUCUUUUCCUGGAAGUAUAGAACUAGCUAUGCAGAGCCCUCUUCCAAGCCCCUAGAUUCUGGUAACCCCACCCCUUCCCUUUUGUUUCAACAAUGAGCAGUGUCAGUUGUUGCCUGAGUUUUUAAAUCUCUGUGUUACACUUUUUCUCUUUCAGGCACCCAACAUCUAUGGAAAACACCUCUUAGUUUGAGAUAUCCAUUGUGGCUUCUAUUUUCCCAGCUAGAAUCUAACUGAUAGGAAGUCAUGGAGGGUUUUCAGAUCUCAGAUGAUUUGUCUUGCAUUCUGAUAGCAUCACCCUGGCUGCUGUGUUGGAAUUGACUGAGGGACUGACCAGCUAGGAGGCUAUUUCAAUCAAAAUAGAUGGGGGUAAAGAAGUGGUUACAUUCUGUAUAUAUUUUGAACAUAUUAAUGAUGGGAUUUGUAGACAGAUCAGGUGUGAGUUUCAAGGAAAGAGUAAAAAGUAUGAACUAUUGUCUAGGAGAGUAGGAGACUGAUUAGAGGACUCUAGUGUUAAUGCUGGGAAACAAUUAAGAUCAGUGAUUAUGAAUUUAAAGUUUAGACCAACUGGCAGCUGAGUGUGCAGACAGCCAUGCCUACAGACACAGCUCUACGGUGGUUUUGUUAAGGUGAUGCUGUGACAGAUAAAUCCUGAAAUCUUAGUAACUUAAUACAACAGAAAUUUCUAUUCUAGUAACAUAAAGCCUAAUAGGUAAUGGGACAUAGUGAGGACAAACUCCUAGGUUAUACAACUGAGUCUUUCAAUGAUCUUGGCUAAUAGAAGCUCAACAUAUGUUUUUCAAGUUUGUCCUGGGAAUUGAUACCCAGUUGGAAAAUUGAGGAAGGGAGAAAAUGAAAGAUUUCAAUAAAUUUUAUUUAUGCCAGUCCUAGAGGUAGUAUGCAUCAUUUCUACUCACAUUUUCUUGGCUAAAAUUCAAUGUCAUGACUGCACCUUAGGUGAACAGAAGCCAGGAAACAUCGUUUAGCCUUAUGCCAAAAA
ensembl:lncRNA